rnacentral:rRNA from 1 species
UACGUAGGGGGCAAGCGUUGUCCGGAUUUAUUGGGCGUAAAGAGCGUGUAGGCGGCCAGGGAGGUCCGUUGUGAAAACUCGAGGCUCAACCUCGAGACGCCGACGGAAACCCCCUGGCUAGAGUCCGGAAGAGGAGAGUGGAAUUCCUGGUGUAGCGGUGAAAUGCGCAGAUAUCAGGAAGAACACCCGUGGCGAAGGCGGCUCUCUGGGACGGUACUGACGCUGAGACGCGAAAGCGUGGGGAGCGAACAGG